GUCUAUGGCCAUGCCAUCCUGAACACGCCUGAUCUCAUCUGCUCUUGGAAGCUAAGCAGGGUCAAGCCUGGUUAGUACUUGGAUAGGAGACCACCUGGGAAUACCAGGUGCUGUCAGCU
ensembl:rRNA 5S_rRNA 5S ribosomal RNA